UCCGGUUGAUCCUGCCGGACCCGACUGCUAUCAGAGUGGGUCUAAGCCAUGCGAGUCGACAUAGCAAUAUUUGGCAUACGGCACAGUAACCCGUAGUCAACAUGCCCAGGGGACGUGGAUAACCUCGGGAAACUGAGGAUAAACCGCGAUAAGUCACUGCUUCUGGAAUGGGCAAUGACUUAAAUCUAUAUGGCCCCUGGAUUGGACUGCGGCCGAUCAGGCUGUUGGUGAGGUAAUGGCCCACCAAACCUGUAACCGGUACGGGCUCUGAGAGGAGGAGCCCGGAGAUGGGCACUGGGACAAGGGCCCAGGCCCUAUGGGGCGCAGCAGGCGCGAAACCUCUGUAAUAGGCGAAAGCCUGACAGGGUUACUCUGAGUGAUUUCCGUUAAGGAGAUCUUUUGGCACCUCUAAAAAUGGUGCAGAAUAAGGGGUGGGCAAGUCUGGUGUCAGCCGCCGCGGUAAUACCAGCACCCCGAGUGGUCGGGACGUUUAUUGGGCCUAAAGCAUCCGUAGCCGGUUCUGCAAGUCUUCCGUUAAAUCCACCUGCUUAACAGAUGGGCUGCGGAAGAUACUAUAGAGCUAGGAGGCGGGAGAGGCAAGCGGUACUCGAUGGGUAGGGGUAAAAUCCGUUGAGCCAUUGAAGACCACCAGUGGCGAAGGCGGCUUGCCAGAACGCGCUCGACGGUGAGGGAUGAAAGCUGGGGGAGCAAACCGGAUUAGAUACCCGGGUAGUCCCAGCUGUAAACGAUGCAGACUCGGUGAUGAAUUGGCUUUAUGCCAAUUCAGUGCCGCAGGGAGGCCGUUAAGUUUGCCGCCUGGGGAGUACGGUCGCAAGACUGAAACUUAAAGGAAUUGGCGGGGGAGCACCACAAGGGGUGAAGCCUGCGGUUCAAUUGGAGGCAACGCCGGAAAUCUUACCGGGGGCGACAGCAGAAUGAAGGUCAAGCUGAAGACUUUACCAGACAAGCUGAGAGGAGGUGCAUGGCCGUCGCCAGCUCGUGCCGUGAGGUGUCCUGUUAAGUCAGGUAACGAGCGAGACCCCUGCCUCUAGUUGCUACCAUUAUUCUCAGGAGUAGUGGAGCUAAUUAGAGGGACUGCCGUCGCUGAGACGGAGGAAGGAGGGGGCUACGGCAGGUCAGUAUGCCCCGAAACCCUCGGGCCACACGCGGGCUGCAAUGGUAAGGACAAUGAGUAUCGAUUCCGAAAGGAGGAGGCAAUCUCUAAACCUUACCACAGUUAUGAUUGAGGGCUGAAACUCGCCCUCAUGAAUAUGGAAUCCCUAGUAACCGCGUGUCACUAUCGCGCGGUGAAUACGUCCCUGCUCCUUGCACACACCGCCCGUCGCUUCAUCGAAGUUGGUUCUUGGCGAGGUGAUGCCUAAUUGGUACUCUCGAACCUGGGGUCAGCAACGAG
rnacentral:rRNA from 1 species